CGGGGUGUAGCGCAGCUUGGUAGCGCACACGCAUGGGGUGCGUGUGGUCGUGAGUUCGAAUCUCACCACCCCGA
rnacentral:tRNA from 2 species